rnacentral:rRNA from 1 species
UACGAAGGGUGCAAGCGUUACUCGGAAUUACUGGGCGUAAAGCGUGCGUAGGUGGUUUGUUAAGUCUGUUGUGAAAGCCCCGGGCUCAACCUGGGAAUGGCAAUGGAUACUGGCAGGCUAGAGUGCGGUAGAGGGUAGUGGAAUUCCCGGUGUAGCGGUGAAAUGCGUAGAGAUCGGGAGGAACACCAGUGGCGAAGGCGGCUACCUGGACCAGCACUGACACUGAGGCAUGAAAGCGUGGGGAGCAAACAGG